rnacentral:rRNA from 1 species
CCUACGGGGGGCAGCAGUGAGGAAUAUUGGUCAAUGGGCGCGAGCCUGAACCAGCCAAGUCGCGUGAGGGAAGACGGUCCUAUGGAUUGUAAACCUCUUUUGUCGGGGAGCAAAAGACGCCACGCGUGGCGUUCCGAGAGUACCCGAAGAAAAAGCAUCGGCUAACUCCGUGCCAGCAGCCGCGGUAAUACGGAGGAUGCGAGCGUUAUCCGGAUUUAUUGGGUGUAAAGGGCGUGUAGGCGGGAGCGCAAGUCAGAUGUGAAAACUCAGGGCUCAACCCUGAGCCUGCAUUUGAAACUGUGUUUCUUGAGUGAGUGAGAAGUAUGCGGAAUGCGUGGUGUAGCGGUGAAAUGCAUAGAUAUCACGCAGAACUCCGAUUGCGAAGGCAGCAUACCGGCGCUCAACUGACGCUCAUGCACGAAAGUGUGGGUAUCGAACAGGAUUAGAUACCCGAGUAGUC